GACGAACGCUGGCGGCGUGCCUAAUACAUGCAAGUAGAACGCUGAAGAGAGGAGCUUGCUCUUCUUGGAUGAGUUGCGAACGGGUGAGUAACGCGUAGGUAACCUGCCUUGUAGCGGGGGAUAACUAUUGGAAACGAUAGCUAAUACCGCAUAACAAUGGAUGACACAUGUCAUUUAUUUGAAAGGGGCAAUUGCUCCACUACAAGGUGGACCUGCGUUGUAUUAGCUAGUAGGUGAGGUAACGGCUCACCUAGGCGACGAUACAUAGCCGACCUGAGAGGGUGAUCGGCCACACUGGGACCGAGACACGGCCCAGACUCCUACGGGAGGCAGCAGUAGGGAAUCUUCGGCAAUGGGGGCAACCCUGACCGAGCAACGCCGCGUGAGUGAAGAAGGUUUUCGGAUCGUAAAGCUCUGUUGUAAGUCAAGAACGAGUGUGAGAGUGGAAAGUUCACACUGUGACGGUAGCUUACCAGAAAGGGACGGCUAACUACGUGCCAGCAGCCGCGGUAAUACGUAGGUCCCGAGCGUUGUCCGGAUUUAUUGGGCGUAAAGCGAGCGCAGGCGGUUUGAUAAGUCUGAAGUUAAGGCUGUGGCUCAACCAUAGUUCGCUUUGGAAACUGUCAAACUUGAGUGCAGAAGGGGAGAGUGGAAUUCCAUGUGUAGCGGUGAAAUGCGUAGAUAUAUGGAGGAACACCGGUGGCGAAAGCGGCUCUCUGGUCUGUAACUGACGCUGAGGCUCGAAAGCGUGGGGAGCGAACAGGAUUAGAUACCCUGGUAGUCCACGCCGUAAACGAUGAGUGCUAGGUGUUGGAUCCUUUCCGGGAUUCAGUGCCGCAGCUAACGCAUUAAGCACUCCGCCUGGGGAGUACGACCGCAAGGUUGAAACUCAAAGGAAUUGACGGGGGCCCGCACAAGCGGUGGAGCAUGUGGUUUAAUUCGAAGCAACGCGAAGAACCUUACCAGGUCUUGACAUCCCGAUGCUAUUUCUAGAGAUAGAAAGUUACUUCGGUACAUCGGUGACAGGUGGUGCAUGGUUGUCGUCAGCUCGUGUCGUGAGAUGUUGGGUUAAGUCCCGCAACGAGCGCAACCCCUAUUGUUAGUUGCCAUCAUUCAGUUGGGCACUCUAGCGAGACUGCCGGUAAUAAACCGGAGGAAGGUGGGGAUGACGUCAAAUCAUCAUGCCCCUUAUGACCUGGGCUACACACGUGCUACAAUGGUUGGUACAACGAGUUGCGAGUCGGUGACGGCAAGCUAAUCUCUUAAAGCCAAUCUCAGUUCGGAUUGUAGGCUGCAACUCGCCUACAUGAAGUCGGAAUCGCUAGUAAUCGCGGAUCAGCACGCCGCGGUGAAUACGUUCCCGGGCCU
rnacentral:rRNA from 1 species